UACGAGGGGGGCAAGCGUUGUUCGGAAUUAUUGGGCGUAAAGGGUGCGUAGGCGGUCUGACAAGUCUGAUGGGAAAUCUAUGGGCUCAACCCAUAGUCUGCAUCGGAAACUGUCGGGCUUGAGUAUGGGAGAGGUGAGUGGAAUUUCCGGUGUAGCGGUGAAAUGCGUAGAUAUCGGAAGGAACACCUGUGGCGAAAGCGGCUCACUGGACCAUUACUGACGCUGAGGCACGAAAGCUAGGGGAGCAAACAGG
rnacentral:rRNA from 1 species